CUACGGGUCGCUGCAGUAAGGAAUAUUCCGCAAUGGACGAAAGUCUGAUGGAGCGACACCGCGUGAAGGAUGACAGCCCAUGGGUUGUAAACUUCUUUUCUGUAGGAAGAAGAUCUGACGGUACUACAGGAAUAAGCCCCGGCUAAUUACGUGCCAGCAGCCGCGGUAAUACGUAAGGGGCAAGCGUUAACCGGAAUCAUUGGGCGUAAAGCGUCCGCAGGUGGGAAGGUAAGUCAGUUAUUAAAUACCGGAGCUAAACUUCGGUGCUGUAAUUGAAACUACUUUUCUAGAGGAUGGGAGAGGCAUAUGGAAUUCUGCAAGUAGGGGUAAAAUCCGUAGAUAUGCAGAGGAAUACCAAAAGCGAAGGCAGUAUGCUGGACCAUUCCUGACGCUCAGGGACGAAAGCGUAGGUAGCAAAACGGAUUAGAUACCCGGGUAGUC
rnacentral:rRNA from 1 species